GACAAACGCUGGCGGCGUGCCUAAUACAUGCAAGUCGAGCGAGACUCUUCGGAGUCUAGCGGCGGACGGGUGAGUAACACGUGGGCAACCUGCCUGUAAGACUGGGAUAACACCGGGAAACCGGUGCUAAUACCGGAUAAUCCUUUUCCUCUCAUGAGGAAAAGCUGAAAGACGGUUUCGGCUGUCACUUAAAGAUGGGCCCGCGGCGCAUUAGCUAGUUGGGGAGGUAACGGGUCACCAGGGCGCCGAUGCGUAGCCGACCUGAGAGGGUGAUCGGCCACACUGGGACUGAGACACGGCCCAGACUCCUACGGGAGGCAGCAGUAGGGAAUCUUCCACAAUGGACGAAAGUCUGAUGGAGCAACGCCGCGUGAGCGAUGAAGGCCUUCGGGUCGUAAAGCUCUGUUGUUAGGGAAGAACAAGUACCGGAGUAACUGCCGGUACCUUGACGGUACCUAACCAGGAAGCCACGGCUAACUACGUGCCAGCCGCCGCUGUAAUAC
rnacentral:rRNA from 1 species